rnacentral:lncRNA from 1 species
GUUUGAAAGCAGUUCAGGAAACUCUGGCUCUGUUCAUUAUAAAAGGAUGUAUUUUUUUUUAACACAGAAAGAAAGGAGAGGCGGGUGUGGGACAGAGAGAAGUGGGGAGGGGAGAAAGGAAAGGGUAGGCUGGAUGAGAAGCUAUUGAAAGGGUCCGAGUGAAAGGACACUGCAGUUGGCACCACGGUGUUAACAGCAGACAAAAGAGAGGUGAACAGAGGGAUAUGAUGGAGGUAGAACCAAGAGGUGCAUUUUACUGAUGUUCGUGUAUGUGUGCUGGGAGAACAUGAAGAAAGGAAAUGGAGAGAUCCAAGAUCAGUCUGAGAUUUCUGCCUUGAGUAAGUAGGUGGAUAGCGAUGUGAUUUACUCAAUAGGAAGGACAAGGAGAGAAAAGCUCUAGUAGACUGAAAACAAAGGGUUCUGUUGUGGCUACACUCAAUGGAGACGCCUUCUAAGCAUUCAGACAACAAAGUCAACUAACUUGACUGGACCACAGGUAAGCACAGGUGGGCACAGUUAGGACUGGAACUCUAGAUUUGGAAGUCAUUGGUGUAAGGUGGUAUUUAAGACCUGUUUAGGUCACCCAGAGAGAGUUUGUGGAUAGCAAAAAGCUCAAUAAAUUAAAGGACUUGUAUGUGGCUCAUGCAGUGUCUACAUGAGAACUGCUAAAUUGGAAAGAAAUGAGAUAGUAUAUAGGCUAUAUGGUGUGACUUGCCCAUUGAGCCAUAGAGGCAGUGUCUAAACAGGCUUACUUUUGUGGGCAAUAAGAUAAACAUGACUUUUCCAUAAAAAUGAUAUUUAUGUCUUAAUACAGACAGGGUUUUUUUUUCAGUGAAUUUCACCGAAUACCAUAAGACCAGAGUUCAGUGGUCUCUAUUUUCAAAUCAAUGUUGGCAAUAAUUUAGGUGGAACUUAAAUUAUGUACUUUUUUGGCUUGCAGGAGACUUUGUUUCUUUUGAAGUUAUAUGAUUAUUACCCCUCUCUUGUCAAAAGUGCAAUAGCUACUGCCACACAUUAGUGACCCACUAAACCUAACCCACCUUUUUAUCAUGUUAGCACUAAUGGCAAAUGAGAGAAAGAACCACGAGGAGGACAGGCAUUGGGGACAAUUUGGAUUAAUAUGCUGAAUUGUCUAAAAUAAAUAGAGACUCCAUGUGCAAUUUUCAUUUCCUAAGCUAUGCAACAAUUAUAGUUAUUCUACUCAAAUGUCUGUAGCAAUGACAUCAGUGACUAAAAUAGUGCUUGAAAAACAAGAGAAGAAAUGGCAAACAUGUUAUUUAUUUGCUUAAAUCUAUUAUAAUGGGACUGGCAGUGUUAGUCUCAUUAACAGAGGGACCUUUCUUUCCACAAGCCAGCUGGAAUAAUAAAGGCUGCUAUGUGACAUUUAAAAUGCAAUUGCUCUGCGAUCUGUAGAUUCUGUUUCCAAUGCUUACUGAUCACAGAGAAAAGUGAUCUGAGUAAAAUGCAAACCAUCUUGCUCAUCAUCUGCAUUCCCAACAAAGAUAGCAUUAGGGUUAAAUGCUAUAAUAUGGCACCAAGGAUAUGCUGAAAAAUUAUUCAUGUCGAAGUGCUUGAACAUUUAUUUGAAGCAUUUAUUCAAUUGUUCUUUUGCCAUGUGACAGUCCAAGGGUUGGCAGAAAUACAUCUGUUGUGUUUUUCUUGAAUAGGCAAAAAGAAAUUAUAAUUAGGGAGAUACCGCUUUAUGCAUAUAAAUAUACUGCGUUUGAAACAAGUUGUUCGAAACAAAUGAGAAACAUGCAGAUUUCCCUCUGUGAAUAGAUAGGAAAUGCAGGAUUAUUUUGGUGCCUUUGUUUUAAUGACAAAAUCAUGAUCUUCAAUAGAAACGUGCCUCUGUAGAGCUUGGGCAUCAGAUGCCAAAGUGAGUUUCGAGGUAAAUGUAAGAAUCUGAGUUAUUUAAAAUUUGUGUAUUAGGAUUUGUUUAAACUCAAACAGGCAAAUAUUACUCAGUGAGUCUUUUUAACUAUUCCAACGUGUAUUACAAAAUGAAGGGUCUGAAGAGAAGAUUUUUGAGUCUUCCAUUUUCUUGGUCAGAUGAAAAACAGGAAACUCAGAAGCCAAACAGGCAAAUAUUACUCAUGAGUCUUUUUAACUAUUCCAACGUGUAUUACAAAAUGAAGGGUCUGAAAAGAAGAUUUUUGAGUCUUCCAUUUUCUUAGUCAAAUGAAAAACAGGAAACUCAGAAGCCAAUAAUGGGCUAUAUAAUAUAUCACUUGGGUGGUCAAGCUUCUCCAUACCUCAAAGGUUCAGGCUGGAAUUUUAAUGGGUUCCAAUUUUACUUGACCUAAUUCAUCCAUUUCUGUUAGAUAUGCUUAUCCUUUCCACACUAAAACCACAGAAUGAACUGUAAAUCAUCAGAUUAUAAAAUUUUACUCUGACAUUUUUAGGAACUGCAUUUAUUCCACUUUCUGCCUAUGUAAUGAGGUCUUGCUACUCCCUUUUAUAUUUCAGAGGUGAAGACCUAAGCAAUUUUGACUUAUUACAUAGUACUUAAGUGAGUAUGUAAGUCUAGUUUUCUACUUUAAAAUAUUCAAGUCUAAAACCAUUAGGAUUGUGGGGACUAUAUAGUUUCCCAUCCUCUCUCUAAUACACACACACACACACACACACACACACACACACACACACACAUAACAAUUAGUCGAUAUUGCUGAAAUUCUGUUAGAUAAAAUAACUCAAAGACAGGAUUUUUAAAAAGAGAAGGAAAUAAAUUACUAAGAGAUGGAGCAGAAAGACUACUUAAAAAAUGAAAUCUAAAGAACAUAUCUCUCUUAUCAUUUUUCCAUGUCAGUAGGAAGUAGAACUACCAGAGAUGUUUAGGUCAGUGCACCUCAGUACCUCCUCCACUUUCACUAGCCCAGCAAGUCCCACACACUUGACAUUUAGAUUAAAAAGCUGGAGAGGCACAGUGCCUGAGAGAAGCAGCGUGUACCACUUUUGGAUGGCAUGAUGAAGGAAGUCUUUAGGAAGGAAUAACAGACAGGGUUUGAUUUUAGCAUUAAACUAAAAUGGAAAGUCUCCCAGGCCCAGGUACUCUAUGAUAGUAUGUACAGUGUGGAUUAGGCUUGUUUUUAGAGAAAUAGUAGACAUGAGAGAAGUCUGAAAAAGGAGCUUGAUUGUAGGAGAAAAUGUCCCAAUAAAAUAUAGAAAGGAGAGACCCCAGCCAUGAUGACUAAGCAAAGUCUAGCCAACUGCCCCAACCAGUCCUCCCCCAGGCACCUGCUUCUGUAAAUUUGUUUCCGCAUCUACUACCUUGCCUGAUGUCACUCCAGUCCAACUAGUCAAGCUUGGACCCAGAAGACGUAGCCCAUAAAAGCCUUGUGAAACCCUUCUUCCGGGCUCAGACUCUGGAGAGCGAUCUCCUCUGAGCCCGCUGGCGUAAUAAACCUGAGUUCUCCAAUUCUCCGAGUGCUCGCUUGGUUUCUCGCUGGGUAAAAGAGCAGAUCCACUACAGCCACAGAGCUACUGGAGCUGGUACACUAUAGCCACAGGGCUGUCGCCAGAGCUGAUACGCUGCAGCACAGGGCUGCUGGGUAUCUGCCGUAACAUGAUGGCGAUCGGAUUGUCUGGAGGGGGGUAACUGUCUCAGGAGUAUUGGUUAGACAGUGAGGACUUGGUAGAAGAUGACGUUUUAGGUCUCUAUUGCGAUCACUUUGAAUAGUGAAUUUAAAGACAGAGAUUUCUGAGAACUGCGAAAAGCAUUCUGAAAAUAAAUGAGAUUGUUAUACUGUUUUACCAAACAAUGCUGUUCUUGGUGACUAUAAAGAACACACGAGGAAAAGUUAUAGUACUAUUAUUUUUUCUAUUCAGUUUUAAACUGUAAGUCCAUGGAUUAGAUAAACUCUUGAGAAUCUUUCCAUCUCAAUGAUCUAUAAAAGCUUUCUUUGUGAUCUGGCUCUCUUUGAGCAUGUGAAAUGCUUCUGAUAUAGCAGAGAUGAAAUGUCCUCUGAACAUUUCUCUAUUAAAAAUUUGCAUGUUUAAAGAAAGGGAUAUAGAACUUUAUACAGCAGUACAGAACUACUACUACAACUAAUGAUCUGCUGGGAUUCAAGAUCUUUAAUUGCAGUUAAGAGUUAUAGCCUGUCCAUUUUAAUUUUAGGAACAUAUUUUUUAAAGCAGUGAAUUCUUCCACUGCCUGAAUACAAAAUUUAGUGAUAUUCAUGAAACUCUAAUUCCGAGGCCAAGAUAUGGCGGAAAUACAAAAGACAAUAAAACUUGGUAGAAAAAGAGAAAUACAGCCAUUUCCAUGAGGGAAGACAAGGUAAUAGUUAUUCAAAUGUAAAGUUUAAUAACAAACUCAGCUCAGUGUACCAAAAUUGCACAAAUUCAUUUCUUGGAUAUUACCACACAUAUCUUUUAGAUACAAAGAAAGCACAAUUUACAUCCUGGAAAAUGAGCUAGUAAUAUGUUAUUAAAAUAAAACCUAUCAAUAUAACUCAAACUAAAUGGCCAAUAGAUUUUAAUGGUUAUGUAGUCUACUGCUGAGGCAUUGAUUAGGUAAUUGCUGAGCAGAUCUAAUUCAAUUGUUGAAAUAAUAAAAUUGUUUCCUGAGCUGGUCAUUGUAAUCAUCUUUUAACCAAAUUGAUUGGGAUAUCCAUUAAUUACAGAGUAUUUUGCACACUAAUCCACCCUUACCACAUAGACACAACAGACUAGUUGGUCAUAUAGAUACCACCUUGAAUCUUAGAAAACAUGCUUCACCUUGAAAGAAACUAUGACAUGCUAUUUGGAAAUACAGGUGGGCUUUGGAGUUCCGCACAGGAAACACAGAGGUGAAGUGCAGUGAGUGAGUGUGAAGCCUUGGUUCAUCAUCUGCUACUAAGAACAACGUUAUCAACUAUUAUUACUAAUAUUUUCCUUUAAUAAAAAAGAAAGUUAUAUAAUGAAACAAAGCUUUUGGUUUAAAAUAGAAAAUCUGAUUUUAGGGGCUUUUUCAGAAAACUACUCCAGGAAAUCUGUUUAGCUUAUUCACAUCUUUUGGAGGCAACGAGCACUUGGAUAGCUCCUCCUUGCCUUCCACAGUAAGGCCGAGGAGUAUAAAGGACUAAGAUACUAGUUCUGGGAGUUCCCGCUGUGGCACAGCGGAAAUGAAUCCAACUAGUAUCCAUGAGGUUGUGGGUUCAAUCCCUGGCCUCACUCAGUGGGUUGGGGCUCAGGCAUUGCCGUGAGCUAUGAUAUAGGUCACAGGAGCGGCUUGGAUCUGGUGUUGCUGUGGCUAUUUUUUUUUUUUUUUUUUUUUUUNNNNNNNNNNNNNNNNNNNNNNNNNNNNNNNNNNNNNNNNNNNNNNNNNNNNNNNNNNNNNNNNNNNNNNNNNNNNNNNNNNNNNNNNNNNNNNNNNNNNNNNNNNNNNNNNNNNNNNNNNNNNNNNNNNNNNNNGUCUGCAACCUACACCACAGCUCACGGCAACGCUGGAUCCUUAACCCACUGAGCAAGGGCAGGGACCGAACCCGCAACCUCAUGGUUCCUAGUCGGAUUCGUUAACCACUGCGCCACGACGGGAACUCCGCUGUGGCUAUUUUGUAGGCCGGUGGCUGCAGCUCCAGUGCUACCCCUAACUUGAGAACUUCCAUAUGCCACAGAUUUGGCCCUAAAAAGAAAAAAAAUAUAUAUGUUUCCUGUGCAGAACUCCAAAGGCCAUCCAUAUUUCCUCUUUUCCAUCUCUGUUUCUUAGAAAAUAACCUAAUUCUUCUGAGCUUCCAUUUCUGUUUUUUGUCUCUUUGUUCAUUUAUUUUUAAUAGAGAGACAACAACAAUACCUUGCACACUGCUUAUGAGGAUAAAUAAAAUAAAUAAAAUAAAUAAAAUAAAUCAAUUAAAACAAUCACAAUACCACCUUGUAUAUAAUAAUCACUCAUAAAUGUUAACUAAUUAUUAUUAUUAUUACACUUUUUCUUCAAAACCUAUGUUUGUUUGGAAAGUGAUGAGGUCAUGAAUCCAUAACAUUCAUGAAGGUUCUCUUUGACUAAAUAUGCGCAUUCCUUAUUCUAGUUAAGAUUCUUAUCAAGGAAAAGGAGAGUUGGAAGAAACAAAAUUGGAAUGAUUUUUGUUCCUGUAAUCUUUUAAUAUUGCUAAUGCUAUAGGAAUGUUUAAAAAUUAAAGCAUGAAACAAAAAAAUUUUGAUAGGUCUUUACGUGAAACAUUUGUGAAAGUUUCAUGAAGGACAGAAACAAACAAAAAAAGAUGUGAAAUAAACUAUCAAAUACCUAUAAUUUGCAUGCUGAAUAAAAACAUAUUUGGUUCUUAUUCAUAUUUUAAGUCUUAGAAUAAAUGUGUACUUCGCAAUGGAUUUUUCUAAUUUCCCUUUGACCAAUGUGGUUUUUUGGGCAGUUGCCUUACUAUAUAGAUGACUAUGAAUAUAAAGGUUAUACAGACUAUCCAUUUUCAAAAGGAUGUGUUUAUUUCCAGUAGAAUUGUAAUAUCUCAGCUCUUUCCUUUAAAAUACUUUGUUGAAAAUAUACACAGAAAGUAUACAAUUUUGUCCUAAAGGAGCAGAAAAAAAUUUCUACUUUGGUGGCUUACUUUAAAAUUUCUCAAGUUAUUUUCUCAUUUGACAACUAAAUCAAACAACCAGUGCUCUUACUUUCUCCGAUCUAAACAAUUUUACAGAGACUACCUUGCAAAUGUCCCAAGAGAUGAGCCUGCUCAUAGUGAAAA